AAACUUACCUGGCGCCGGGUUCAGGGUGAUCAGCAAGGCCCUGACCCCAGGUGGAGGCUCAGCAUUGCACUCCGCUGUGUUGAAGCCUGCGGCGGGUUCGCUCGGGUGCAUAGUUUUGCCAGUAGGGAGUCCUCGGGCGUCCCUU
rfam:Taenia asiatica genome assembly, scaffold: TASK_contig0016965